UACAAGCUGCGUUGUACGUGAUGCAUAAUUAAGUUUUAACCUUUAAGCUGUAUUAGGGAGUUUUAAAAAUUUAUGGAAAUGACAAGCCUCUGUCUAGAUGACAUGGGGGACAUGCAGGAACAUAAUUGCGAACACCCACUUGUUGAAGUGGUGGUUUAAAACUUUCUUAUAAUGUAACGGCAAAGGCGGCUGUAC
rnacentral:other from 1 species